AUUGAACGCUGGCGGCAUGCCUAACACAUGCAAGUCGAACGGGGCAGCAAUGCCUAGUGGCGGACGGGUGAGGAAUACGUAGGAAUCUGCCCUUAAGUGGGGGAUAACCAGGGGAAACCCUGACUAAUACCGCAUGAUCUCUUCGGAGCAAAGAGGGGGACCGCAAGGCCUCUCGCUUCUGGAUGAGCCUACGUCUGAUUAGCUAGUUGGUAGGGUAAAGGCCUACCAAGGCGACGAUCAGUAACUGGUCUGAGAGGAUGAUCAGUCACACCGGAAAUGAGACACGGUCGGGACUCCUACGGGAGGCAGGAGUGGGGAAUAUUGGACAAUGGGCGCAAGCCUGAUCCAGCAAUGCCGCGUGUGUGAAGAAGGCCUUCGGGUUGUAAAGCACUUUAGCCUGGAAAGAAAAAACUUUGGUUAACACCCAAAGUCUUGACGGUACCAGGAGAAUAAGCACCGGCUAACUCUGUGCCAGCCGCCGCGGUAAAAC
rnacentral:rRNA from 1 species